rnacentral:rRNA from 1 species
AUUGAACGCUGGCGGCAUGCUUUACACAUGCAAGUCGAACGGUAACAGGCCUUCGGGUGCUGACGAGUGGCGCACGGGUGCGUAAUGCAUCGGAACGUACCCAGAGGUGGGGGAUAACGCAGCGAAAGCUGUGCUAAUACCGCAUGUGAUCUGAGGAUGAAAGCGGGGGACCGAGCAGCAAUGUUUGGCCUCGCGCCUUUGGAGCGGCCGAUGUCGGAUUAGCUAGUUGGUGGGGUAAAGGCCUACCAAGGCGACGAUCCGUAGCUGGUCUGAGAGGACGACCAGCCACACUGGGACUGAGACACGGCCCAGACUCCUACGGGAGGCAGCAGUGGGGAAUUUUGGACAAUGGGCGCAAGCCUGAUCCAGCAAUGCCGCGUGCGGGAAGAAGGCCUUCGGGUUGUAAACCGCUUUUGGCAGGAACGAAACGGUGUCCGCUAAUACCGGGCGCUAAUGACGGUACCUGCAGAAUAAGCACCGGCUAACUACGUG